rnacentral:rRNA from 1 species
GAUGGACGCUGGCGGCGUGCUUAACGCAUGCAAGUCGAACGGAAAGGCUCCUGCUUGCAGGGGUACUCGAGUGGCGAACGGGUGAGUAACACGUGGGUGAUCUGCCCUGCACUUCGGGAUAAGCCUGGGAAACUGGGUCUAAUACCGGAUAGGACGAUGGUUUGGAUGCCAUUGUGGAAAGUUUUUCGGUGUGGGAUGAGCUCGCGGCCUAUCAGCUUGUUGGUGGGGUAAUGGCCUACCAAGGCGUCGACGGGUAGCCGGCCUGAGAGGGUGUACGGCCACAUUGGGACUGAGAUACGGCCCAGACUCCUACGGGAGGCAGCAGUGGGGAAUAUUGCACAAUGGGCGCAAGCCUGAUGCAGCGACGCCGCGUGGGGGAUGACGGCCUUCGGGUUGUAAACUCCUUUCGCUAGGGACGAAGCGCAAGUGACGGUACCUGGAGAAGAAGCACCGGCUAACUACGUG